rnacentral:lncRNA from 1 species
AGCCUCUCCCUGCUGUGAGAUGAAUUGGGUUUUUACAGAGGCAUCACAGCUCCUUCAUUGAUUCCCUGCUCCAAACUGAAUCCAAAUGUUGUGAAGAAGCAUCGCACAAAUUUCUAAGCAUGUGUGGACAGAAUUGAAGGACAAGGAAAGCAUCGCUGAGACAAGAGACUGCAGACAACCGGGAAGAAGUCUCUUGUGAUUUCUGUUGCAUCUGAAUCCAGUUCAGAAGAGACUGUUGUACAGAUUCAGUAAGGAAUAACAAACAGCAAGGCCACCG